CCUUUCCCCAAAUCAACCCACAUCUUUCACAGUUUCACUCGCUUCUCGCUGUUGCCAACUGUUGGCCGCCGGCCUUGCCAACUCUCGCUGCCCACCACAGCUAGGGCCCUCCAAGCCGCCACGCCGGGUGCCGGGUGUCUGCUGGCUGCUGCCGCUUCUCCUCUCGCUGCCUUCUCCGCUCGUGCUACCUGCUGCCGUGCUGCGGACCACUGUUGCUGCCGCCGGCUCAUAAACUAAUCGGUGAACUGUUGUUGAAGCGCCGAAGGAGCAAGACUGCUGCAACAGCAAGGUGACACUGGUGAAACAGAAAACCAUGGUCCAGGAGAGCAUAUCUGUAGUUAUUGGUUGUAGGCGUCUUUUGGUCAGUCCGGUGUAUUCCACAGUUGUGGCUAUGGAGCAUUUUUGGCCAGUUCCGUGUAUUCUACGGUUGUGGCUAUGGAGCACUGGAUAAUAGUAAUUAUCCACAAUAGCAGAGACAAAAUUGCAAGGCGGAAGAUGAAGUGAUGACUGCAAACUUAACCAAAAGGUUUACUGCGGAAAGAGGAGCGAGACAGUUAUAUGCUGAAUAAGUGAAUCUGGUAUUUCAUACAUUACACAACAAUAUGUAAUAACUCAUGCUGCCUAAUUAAUCACAUUGUCAAUUUAAGGUA